UACGAAGGGGCGAGCGUUGUUCGGAAUUACUGGGCGUAAAGGGCGCGUAGGCGGCGCCGGAAGUCAGACGUGAAAUCCCUCGGCUCAACCGGGGAACUGCGUCUGAUACUGGAUGGCUUGAAUUCGGGAGAGGGAUGGCGGAAUUCCAGGUGUAGCGGAUGAAAUGCGUAGAAUAUCUGGAGGACACCGGUGGCGAAGGCAGGCUCCUGGAC
rnacentral:rRNA from 1 species